rnacentral:lncRNA from 1 species
UCUGCACUGAAGGCUCCUUGUUUACUUCCUAUCACCCAGUUUAUACAGGGAAAUUAAAUUGGUUUGAGUAACCUGCAGACUUGACAGUCUCAUUUUCUAGUUCUCAAGCACUAAGUGAACUGUUUUGUUUAGGUUUCCAACAUUAUGAGAAAAUGUUUAAGUAAGAAACACAUCACCUGCUUCUUGCUGGCCAGACUUGAAUGUUGUAAACACUUCUAUUCAAGUUGUGCUUUAUAAUUAUUUCCCCACACGUUGCUACUUAUUUGCACAAACCAAUCUUUGGUCUGAGACCUAAGUUAACUUUACCCCUUAAACUUCAUGGUAGCAGUUUUAGUUUAAAAAAAAAAAAAAAAAGAAAGAAAGAACUCCACAAAUUUCUUUUUUCCCUCUUCUGAGAAAGAAAUCCCACAUAGCACAGUAGCAAUGCCAGCAGGGGCGAAAUGGAAAACCUGAACCCCAGGCGUGAGGCAGAGCCCGGCACCCCAAAUGCCAGCAGGCAGGGAUGCUUCUAGAAGACAAAAUGGCGCCGCCCAGCCAGCCACCGCAUUUGGUUCUCGUUUUUUAUUUUUAUUUAUUUUUAUAUUUAUUUUUUUUAUUUGCUUGUGUGGAGUUAGGAUUCUUUCAGGAUUCCUAUUGGGAAUACUGUAGCUAUCUCCCUGUGCUCUCUUUCUAGUGGGUUAUUCUGUGUUGAGAGAACUUCUGCAGAAAUUGCAGUGGCGGUUUAGAUGGGCUUAAAUUUUUAAAGCAUGAGGGUUUAAACCGUUUACUUAAAAGCAAUCCAGAUUUUUUUUUGUUUGUUUAGAUUUUUCUAUAGUUCUGAUUUCUUAUCCAAGUGGUAAGAGAAAUAGAGUACUAAGAUGUCAAACUGCACAUUUGUGGUGCAGGCUGCACUGAUGGACCCGCAGUGGCCCUGGAGCCCGUAGAGAUUCCGUGGAGAUCUAGCUGUGGCUGACAACUACAAUACAGGUGAUGGCUUGGGAAGAAUGUUGCCGCAACAGCCCCAGUGCAAGAGAACCACGGCUAUUCCAGGAGUUCACCCAGACUGUUCGUGAGACCAGCCUGUUCUGGAAAUUGUACCACCUUGAUUAUGUUAUUACAGUUAAUGAAUUGGACACCAGGUGUGGUAUGGACUACGAGAAAGAAAAGCUCUGAAAUUCUUAUAUAUGGAAGCUGGUAAUGGUUGCUUCUUUAUUUGUAUUUCCUUGUUAUGAACGAUUCUGCAUCCUUGCUUGCUUGCAAGUGUGUAUUAAGUUCUCAGAUGCAUCAUGAAUUUUGCUUUUCAUCGAAAGAUCUCCUACAAAUCUAAUAGAAAUAAAAAAUGUAUUGCAUUAUACCA